rnacentral:rRNA from 1 species
GAUGAACGCUGGCUACAGGCCUAACACAUGCAAGUCGAGGGGAAACGACGGGGAAGCUUGCUUCCCCGGGCGUCGACCGGCGCACGGGUGAGUAACGCGUAUCCAACCUGCCUCUGACUGAGGGAUAACCCGUCGAAAGUCGGCCUAAUACCUCAUGGCAUCGUCUGCGGGCAUCCAACGACGAUUAAAGAUUUCAUCGGUCAGAGAUGGGGAUGCGUCUGAUUAGCUUGUUGGCGGGGUAACGGCCCACCAAGGCGACGAUCAGUAGGGGUUCUGAGAGGAAGGUCCACCACAUUGGAACUGAGACACGGUCCAAACUCCUACGGGAGGCAGCAGUGAGGAAUAUUGGUCAAUGGGCGAGAGCCUGAACCAGCCAAGUAGCGUGAAGGAUGACGGCCCUAUGGGUUGUAAACUGCUUUUAUGCGGGGAUAAAGUGAGGGACGUGUCCUUCAUUGCAGGUACCGAAUGAAUAAGGACCGGCUAAUUCCGUG